UGGGGAAUAUUGGACAAUGGGCGCAAGCCUGAUCCAGCCAUGCCGCGUGAGUGAUGAAGGCCUUAGGGUUGUAAAGCUCUUUCGGCGGGGAAGAUAAUGACGGUACCCGCAGAAGAAGCCCCGGCUAACUUCGUGCCAGCAGCCGCGGUAAUACGAAGGGGGCUAGCGUUGCUCGGAAUCACUGGGCGUAAAGCGCACGUAGGCGGCUUACUAAGUCAGGGGUGAAAUCCUGGAGCUCAACUCCAGAACUGCCCUUGAUACUGGUGAGCUUGAGUUCGGGAGAGGUGAGUGGAACUGCGAGUGUAGAGGUGAAAUUCGUAGAUAUUCGCAAGAACACCAGUGGCGAAGGCGGCUCACUGGCCCGAUACUGACGCUGAGGUGCGAAAGCGUGGGGAGCAAACA
rnacentral:rRNA from 1 species